rnacentral:rRNA from 1 species
GAUGAACGCUGGCGGCGUGCCUAAUACAUGCAAGUCGAACGCUGGAGCUCUAGCUUGCUAGAUCGAAGGAGUGGCGAACGGGUGAGUAAUACAUAAGCAACCUACCCACGAAGACUGGGAUAAUCUCUGGAAACGGGGACUAAUACCGGAUAGGUAAUCGGAAGGCAUCUUCUGGUUGUUAAAGGUUAAAAACACUGGUGGAUGGGCUUAUGGCGCAUUAGUUAGUUGGUGAGGUAACGGCCCACCAAGACGAUGAUGCGUAGCCGGCCUGAGAGGGUGAACGGCCACAUUGGGACUGAGACACGGCCCAGACUCCUACGGGAGGCAGCAGUAGGGAAUUUUCGGCAAUGGGGGCAACCCUGACCGAGCAACGCCGCGUGAGUGAAGACGGCCUUCGGGUUGUAAAGCUCUGUUGUAAGGGAAGAACGGUAGAUAGAGAAUAUCUAAGUGACGGUACCUUACCAGAAAGCCACGGCUAACUACGUG